rnacentral:tRNA from 1 species
GCCGGGCUAGCUCAGCUGGUUAGAGCGCCAGACCCCUAACCAGAAGUCGGGGGUUCGAAGCCCCCGCCCGGCA